UUUUUAUGGAUGAGGCACACAAUAAUCCAAGGAAUAACAUGUUAAAGUAAGAACACUUAAGUCUGGUAUAGAAACCUGUUUGUGUGUAACAGUCAUUGUAAGUUGUUUGUGGAUAAUACAAAUACCUACUAUGAUGUUAAAAAAAAUCAAUUUUGAGCGACAUAAUGAUUUGUUUAAUCAGUUUGCAUUGUUGGAUUGGUAAAUAAGAUUCAUAAUGUACUUUAUACGACACAGUAUGCGGUCAAGGGUUUGAGCUCAUUAUCAGUAUCCAAUUACUUUGCAGUGGUGCAUCGCUAAUCAGUGUUAUUUUGUAAUACAUAAUAUCACGCUAAGGUUUUUCCUUCCUUGUGCCCACUUUUUUUUUUUUACUACAUAAUACAUACAAAUGUGCCUUUUGGAGGAAAUUAUUUUAAACCUGACCCUUUAUUUAUAAGUUGGUCAGCUGCACCUACACUGUUUAUUCUGUUUAAAAUAAUGUAUGACUACAUUCAACGACUGUAUUUUUAGGUUGUUGUAUAUUUUAACAAUAGUGGUAUGUAAUAACUAAAGGUUAUCACAGUAGACAGAUCAUGUUUAUUUUGUCCAUGUGGCACUUGGGAGCAAUGCAACUGUGUCUCUUGCUACGUGGCAGUACAUUUUGUGUGCGUGUGUGGCUAAGAGCAUGUAAAUAGAUGAGAGCAUGGUCCUGUUUUUGACCCCAGUUCAUUAAUGAAUAUUAUUAUUGAAUCAGGUCAUUUUUGGAAAGGGGGCCUGGGCCUGUGUGCAAAAGCAUCAGUUUAUUUUGGAUGCCUUUUGACUUUCUUGGCUCACAUGAGCCUAAGAAAACUAAGCAAGUAACUAAGAAAACAAGUUGCAGGAUAAAAAUACCUCGUGUUAACAUUUCAAGUGAAUGUUGAGCUUCAAUUUAAUCACUAUUUACAUUUUAAGGUAGGCUAAUGUGACUUUAUACGCCCAUCAGUUCCUUGCUAGUCUGGGUCCACCUUCCCUCCAGACUCAGGUUUAUGCAUUUCUUGCCCUUUGAUUUCCCAAACUCCAAAGAUAUUUAGGCUUCUUCUUUAUAGCUUUUUAGGUUUUUCACCAGA